rnacentral:rRNA from 1 species
GAUGAACGCUGGCGGCGUGCUUAACACAUGCAAGUCGAACGGAAAGGCCCAAGCUUGCUUGGGUACUCGAGUGGCGAACGGGUGAGUAACACGUGGGUGAUCUGCCCUGCACUUCGGGAUAAGCCUGGGAAACUGGGUCUAAUACCGGAUAGGACCACAUUUUGGAUGGUGUGGUGGAAAGUUUUUCGGUGUGGGAUGAGCUCGCGGCCUAUCAGCUUGUUGGUGGGGUAAUGGCCUACCAAGGCGUCGACGGGUAGCCGGACUGAGAGGGUGUACGGCCACAUUGGGACUGAGAUACGGCCCAGACUCCGACGGGAGGCAGCAGUGGGGAAGAUUGCACAAUGGGCGCAAGCCUGAUGCAGCGACGCCGCGUGGGGGAUGACGGCCUUCGGGUUGUAAACUCCUUUCGCUAGGGACGAAGCGUUAUGUGACGGUACCUGGAGAAGAAGCACCGGCUAACUACGUG